AUUGUCUUGCGGAAAGUGCUUCCAAAGAAGGUUGGAAAUCUCAGCGGUAAAUCAAGAAGAAAGAAAUAUACCAGAUGAGAUUCUUUUUUGGCUUCUUUGCAAUAUGAAUUCAGUAUUACAGGUUUUAUGUGCUUUACAUUUUCAUGCUUCUGGUUUCAUGCUAACCCAGAGAUAUGAGACAGACAUAUUGGUAAUGACGCUCAUGCAGACAGUCCCUACGCGGAAUUCAAAACUCGGAUGGAACUACCAGUGUUCAGCGGUUUUACUGCACGGCCGCUGGUGGGAUCAAUUUAAAAAGGGUGUAUUAAAAUAGUUUGAAUAAAAGAAGAAAAAUUCAGAAUAGAUGCCAAGAAGGAAAAGUUGAAGUCCAUACGAAGUCAUAUAGUUGAAUUUCGACCGACGACCGACAUAAUGCCACAAAUGUUUUGACUUCUUAU